GUGGCGCCAUAGACUAUGUGGCACAGCUCUGUGGCAGGCCCUGAGGGAGGUGUGCCCCAGUAGUAAGCUUAAGGGUUGUGCAUUCCACUGGUCACAGGCUGUACAGAAGCAUGUCGGAGAGUUUGGUCUCGCCAGAACAUACAG